ACAUAAGAACAGGAGUAAGCCUAGUUACCAACAAAGAGAACCCUGUUAGGAACAGCUGGAAGGAACCAACUGCCAAUCCUCAACUGGCACAGAGAUUUCUGGAACUCCUUACUCCAACAUUCUGUCCUGUUGAAGACUAAUCAUCAAAAAUAUCCCACUUAUUUCUGAAAUAUCUGCAAAGAUGAAAGAUUCUUCAUUUGUUACACAGAUUCUCAUCUGAUGACGUGUUCUUACUAUGUGCUGGUUUACAUAUGGUUUGCCAUCGAGAGGCUGCUGGGUGACAUAGUCAAACAUGCUCAUCAUUAUCAUCAACAUUGAUUGAACAGCCAUAGGAACAUAUGUCACUAUACUAGAAGGUAUAAGAUUUUUAGAAUGGAUAGAGACAUGGUAUUUGUUUUU